ensembl:lncRNA
AUUGGGUCCUCGAGAAAAGAGCUAAAGUGACGCACAACGAAACGGAAGCACACUUGCAGAAAAAGUGCCACCGCCCCGGGUUUUGAUAGUUAGAGUAGUUAGAGGGCGGCGUGCUUCCAACAGGAGCGGCUUCGGGCUUCACUGGCUUCACAGCACAGCUCUGCUGCUGGUGCCGGUCUUUCCUGAGAGCGGCUCCCCCGGCUAUUUUAAUCACAGCAUGCAUCUCAUCGUGGAACCAGACGCCUCCUGAGCCCACGGACGGAGGGGUCGGGUUUGCCGCGUGCCCAGCUCGGUGUGGAAGCUGAAGGAGCAACCACCCUCUAAGCGCCAGGCACUGUCCGGGAUGCAAGAAGUGACUCUGGUGACGGAGACCCUGGAGAGGGAUCAGCGGGAAACCCUGAAGGAAGGCCGCGGUCUGACAUCCGGAGCCGGUUCUUUGGAUGCCUUUUCAGCUGCAAACGGAAGGAAGGUCCUCGAGUUUGGAGGUUUCCAGAAGCGUGAAGGAGAAGGUGCAGGACACGGUGAGAAGCCUCCGGGGCCUGAAUAAGCAGAGAAAAGGUGCUCUGAGCUUCCUCAUCCAGUGACUUCACAGGGAGCAGGACCUGCAAGACCUACAGCGGUGUUUGACGUCCUGAUCUUUGGAGAGCUGCGGCAGGAGGAUCUGGCUCUCCAAAGCUGGGAGCCUGGUAGAAGCGCUUGCCAACACCAUUGUGGAGUUCGUGGACCCCUUGAUAGGUGAGGGAGGAUCCGGCUGGAUUCGGAGGUGGAGGAACUGCUGCUCAGGGAGGCCUGGGGAUCACAUCUUGGGGUGGAGACCAUCCUGGAGGAGAAGUGGGGUGUCCAGGCCAGCAAUCCCCAGGACCCAGACUGUGACCCCGAGGCGCAGGCCAUCUUUAUCCUCUAUCUUGCUGUCUCCAUACUGCUGCAGCUGAGCGAGCAGCCCACCACUUCUUUUUUUUUUUUUUUUUUGGUACCGGGGAUCGAACGCGGGACCUUGCGCUUGCGAAGCAGGCGCCGGAACCACUGAGCUAAAUCCCCGGCCUAGCCCACCACUUCUUAAGAGCUACUUCCCCACCUCCCGAGCCCACCCUCAAGCGGCCACCACGGCCACCACCGCCAUCAUCCUGUCACCAGAGGGACCUCAUCAGAACUCGCAGAUGGCUUUCUUCCAGGCACCCCUUCCCUGCGUGUUAAUAUCCCCAACCAGCCUGGAUUGUAUGCAUGGAUUUCUGGUUAAAACUGGCAGAUUGAUUUAUUAAUUUCUCUCCCUUGAAACCUCAUUAAAUGACAGUAGAGCAAUUGGGAAGGUAUAAGCCCUCCAGGAUAAAAAGGGAGUUGAAGUCGGGGAAUUUAACACAUCUUUAGAAGCUAGAAAGCAGGGGCCUGAGGGGCGCGCGCGCGCGUGUGUGUGUAUGUAUGCUGAUUUCAUCAGAAGUCUUUAGUUCUAUUUUAUAUUCUCAAAGAAAAUGUAAUUAGAAGUUAAAGAAAUAAUGUUGGGUACACAGCAUUUCAAACAUGUCUCCAAUACUAAGUAGAAGGUGGAGCUCCUCUGCAUCUCUCUUCCUUCGGAGACCAGAGGUAGCUGACGUCUGAAGCUAAGGUGACUUGUGCCAGGUAACAGACUGCUGUUUACAGAUCCAGGCACUGGGCUGUGGUUGCCUGGCCUGUGGAACCCAAGCCCAAGGGCCUCCCCGAGUGGGUUCCACUGGAAUCUCAAGGGUGCGCCUUCGUAGUAAAGGUGACUCAGCAGUAGAUCCAUGGCUCUUACCCCACCUCGGGGGAAUGCAGCCAAGACUUUUGGGUACUGAAUGAAGAAGAGGUUAUAAAAGAAAAGGGAAAGCCAGGGAUUUAGCUCAGUGGUUCUGCCACCUGCCUCGCAAGUGCAAGGUCCCGAGUUCGAUCCCGGGUACCAAAAAAAAAAGGGAAAAAAGUAUUCUGAGAGGUUGAGAUCAGAGGCACCUUGCUAAAGAACUCAGGCUCCCUGGCAGUGGACUUGGUUGGGGAGGUCUUGGGCCGAUCACAUGCUCAGGCACCCGUCAGAAUCACACUUGACCUUCAUUCCCAUAAAUGAUCAUCUCAGGCCAAUGAGUGCUUCCCAGGAAACUACCAACAACAAAGAAUCCAAGGAAGUAAAACCAUGAGCAAGAAUGAGCAAAAAUACAGGACAGCACAGCAGAAAGGUAAGAAAACAUCAAAUAAAUAAAUAAAUAAAAUAAAAUACUGGAAUUCCUAAACAAGGUUAUGAAAACAUAAUGAUGCUUAAAUUUGAAGAUGAGUCUGAGUGUGGUGGUGCAGACCUGUAAUCCCAGGACUCAGGAGGCUGAGGGAGGAGGGUUGCCAAGAGUUUGAGGCCAGCCUGAACUGCAUAGUAGGACCCUGUCGCAAAAAACCAAAAAAGUUCAAUCAAGGUUCCAAGAGCAGAAGACAAUGAGAUUCAGGCAGAGGCAAUGCUUGAUGAGACAGUGGUUGAGAAUUUUGCCGAAUUAAAGAUAAUCAUAGUUUUAGGAAAUGCAGUGAAUCCCUAGCAAGAUUUAUAACACAUUCACAUCUAGAAGAAUCAUAGUAAAAUGGAAGAAUAGCAACAAAGACAAAAAUUUUAAAACUAGUCGGAGAAGAAGACAACUGACCUUCAAGGAAGUUACAGACUGAAAACUCAGUGAGGAGCCGUUGAUGAUGAAAUUAUACCUGUGUGUGUUGAAAGGAAAGCACUGCUGAUUAAAUUUUUAUAAUCAGCAAAACUGUCUUUAAUGUAGCGGGGGGGGAUGGGAGAAAAUAGAAUUUAUUUUAAAAAAAACUACCAAAAAAAGUUAAUAUUGCAAUAUAUCAAAAAUUAUUUGGGAAGGGGCCGGGGAUUUAGCUCAGUGGUUCUGCUGCCUCCCUCGAAAGUGCAUGGAUCUGAGUUCCAUCCCUGGUACCAAAAAAACAAACAAACAAAAUAAAGGUAAAAUUAUUUUUAGAUAAGAAUGAAGAGCCUUUUUCCCUAGUAGGUCCUUAUUAAAGAAAAGUCAGGUAAAAGGAGAGACCUCAAAUAGAUUUGAAGCUGGGUGUGGUAGUAUACUCAGGAGGCUGAAGCAGGAAGAUCCCUGCGAGUUUGAGGGUCGCCUGGGCUGCAUAGUUCAAGGCCAGCCUGACAUAUGUGGAGACCCUAACUAACCACCCCCCCAAAAAACCCCAAACCAAUAAAAGGUAAAUAAAGAGUUAAAUCUAAAUAAGCAGUAAUUGCCAGAGCCUGGUAUGGUGGUGCACACCUGUGAUCCUAGCACUGGGGAGGCUGAGUCAGGGGGAUCACAAGUUCAGGCCCAACCUGGGCCACUUAGCAACUUAGAGAGACCCCCCCCCCAAACAAAAGAGAAGCUGGGGUGUUUCUCGGAGAGAAGGCCUUGGGUGCAGUCCCCAGUAACACACACACACACACACACACACACGCACGCAUGCACGGACGGUGAUGCACGCCUGUAAUUCCAGCACUUAGGCUGAGGCGUGAGGAUAGCUAGUUCAAGUCCCACCUAUGCAGAUUAGUGAGACUCUGUCUCAUAAUAAAAACUAAAAAAGGGCUGGGGAUGUAGCUCAGUGGUAGAGCACCCUUAGAUUUAGUCCCUAUGUAAACUUAUCAAAAUGGCAUCCUAUGGGGUAAACAUAACAACUGUAACUAAUAUAAGCCGGGGACUGUGGCGUACAAUCCUGGUCCCAGCUGUUUGGCUUGAGCUCCUAUGAGAAUCUAAGACCACAGCUGACCUGACAGGAAGUGGAGCUCCAGUGGUGAUGUGCAGAUGGGGAGCUGCCUAAAAGUUUUCCUCAGUUAAAAAAAAAUAAAAUUAAAAAAAUUUUUUAAAAACAGAAAAAAGAUGAAGAAGAAGAAAAAAAGAGUUUUCCUCAGUAAGAUGUUGUAAGUCCCAAACUGGAAACAACUCAAAUAUUCACUAACAGGAUGGAUAAAUGUACUAUUGUAUGUUCAUUCAAUGGAAUAUUAUACAGCAGGGAACAGGAACAAGCUGAAGUUAUUCUUUGGGGAGAAUUACAGCACAAAAAGAUAUAUUCAAAAAGAUUCUUUCCACCUAAUGUUAAAAAAAAAAAAAGAAAGAAAACUAUUGCUUAGGAAGCCACACUUUGGUGGUAAAAUUCCAAGAAAAGUAAGGCAGUCCUUAUUAGAAAAACAUUCUCUUUGGAGGAGCAAUGGUACAAUCAGAAGAGGCCUAUCUGAAUGCAGGGUGUGAAGGACGCGAGCGAUGUUUUAUUUCUCUGGGUGGUAGGUAGUUCAAGUGAGAAUUAUUUGUUAGGCUGUAUUUUUAUGUGAAUAUACUUUUCUUCAACUAUGAUGUGGUUCACAAUAAAUUAAAUAAAAGAGAGAAUGGUGGUAUUCACUUUUUUGUUUGUUGAGACAAGGUCUCACUAUGCAGUCCAGGCUGGCCUUGAACUCACUAUUCAGCCCAAGUGGGCUCGGACUCGCAGCGAUCCUCCUGCCUCAGCCUCCAGAGUGCUGGGAUGACGGACUUCCCACGGUGCCGGCUGGCUCACUGGGACUGUGAGUCCCUGGGCUCCAUACUCCGCCUGUGCAACAUUUUCCACCCAGUGGGAGGCGUCCAAACCACCGGCCCCCUUUUGGCUUCCUGUUUCCUUAUCUUUGUUUUCCAAACACCCCUGCCACUUCUAUAUUUGCUUUUGGAUUCCGCAUGUGUUCUCGGAUCAUGCAGAAGAGCCGGUGUCGAGACGCCGGGGAGGCGCGCUUGGACCUCAGCCCUAUCCCUGCAACUCAGGUCGUUCCACCUUGGGAGCGUGUAGGUUUCGGGAGUCUUAUGACUGACAGCCACGCUUCUCCGAUUCCCUGAGAACUACACACGGUCUUUCUCUUUGGGGGGUGGGUACUGGGGAUCGAACUUGGGACCUUUCACUUGUGAGGCAGGCACUGUGCCACUGAGCUGCAUCCCUGGCCCCGCCUUUUUAUUUUUUUAAAUUACAUUUUGAGACAGGUUCUCACUAAAUUGCCCAGCUGGGCUUGGAUUUGGGAUUAUCUUGCCUCGUCCUCCUGGUGUGCACUCUCCCAUGCCUGUCCUGGGCUGAAAGUUUUUUAUUUCACUAAUUUCAGUUCUAGGCAACUGGUUCCUUGUGAAGUAUGCAGCUUGCUACAGCUGAAAAUCAUUCCCACGUUAGGCCACACGGACAUCUGUACUAACUGGAGCAACAGGUAAAUGUUUGUCCCCAUUUAUUGUAACUUCGAAACACUUUUUCUUGAGAUCAGGCUUUGUUUUUGACUUUUAAGCGCCCCCUCCCGCCCCCUGACUGGGCGGUAAAGGCGUGAGUACCAAUCUGUCAGCUCCUCUAGGAGG